AUUUUUGUCCGUAUGUUGCAUGACAGCUUCAGAUGAGCUUGACAAUUUUAUAAUUGUAAGUAUGUCAUCUAUAAUCAUACCAAACAUUGAAUAACUUGUAAGAAAACCCAAUAACAGAGUGUAAACAAAUGCGUUUAUUUUAACCGGAGUUGUUUGAAGUUUUUUUCGAUACGUAUUGUUGUGGGGAUAUGAAAUUGAUUUUUCAGUGAUUAAGAAUUGUGUCAGAGUAAUUUGUCAGGGGCGAAAUACAAAGAAAUCUACUUUGAGGCCGCAUACAGCCAAUUAUUAGAAGUUUAUCGAUGAAUAAUACGACCAAUGUUGGGACAUGUUUUUCAGUUCGAAACUUAUUUCAUAGAAAAAUAGCUCACUCGGUAAUUCCAGGUGCAAUAAGUCAAAAAUACGACCAACUUCGCGAAGCGGAUCAAAACUCUAAAAAACUAUCGAAAUUGCAAGAGUACCCAAAUGAUUAGAAGCAAUAGCCUACCUGAUGAAUCGGGUGAUAGUGCUGAUCGGUUCAAAAUAUGUAUAUAUUUUAAUUAUAAUAACACGUAUGUGAAAAUUAACCAAAUUAAAGUUUGAAUAAAUUUUAUUUUACUCUUGCUAUUUUAAAGAAA